AAAUUGUAUCUUGGCUAUGAUGACGCUGGCGGCGUGCCUAAUACAUGCAAGUCGAACGCACAGCGAAAGGUGCUUGCACCUUUCAAGUGAGUGGCGAACGGGUGAGUAACACGUGGACAACCUGCCUCAAGGCUGGGGAUAACAUUUGGAAACAGAUGCUAAUACCGAAUGAAACUUAGUGUCGCAUGAUACGAAGUUAAAAGGCGCUUUGGCGUCACCUAGAGAUGGAUCCGCGGUGCAUUAGUUAGUUGGUGGGGUAAAGGCCUACCAAGACAAUGAUGCAUAGCCGAGUUGAGAGACUGAUCGGCCACAUUGGGACUGAGACACGGCCCAAACUCCUACGGGAGGCUGCAGUAGGGAAUCUUCCACAAUGGGCGAAAGCCUGAUGGAGCAACGCCGCGUGUGUGAUGAAGGCUUUCGGGUCGUAAAGCACUGUUGUAUGGGAAGAACAGCUAGAAUAGGGAAUGAUUUUAGUUUGACGGUACCAUACCAGAAAGGGACGGCUAAAUACGUGCCAGCCGCCGCGGUAAUUCGUCGUGACUGGAAAA
rnacentral:rRNA from 1 species